CGUUUUGUGCCAAUCCACACUUUCUGACAAAGUGUAAGAUUCUGACAUAAUCUGAAUCUAUUGUUUAUUUCAUAACCAAACUUCUCAUACCCUUGAAAUUAAUAUUUCAUAUUUGAGAAAAGCACAAAUUAGCAUCCUGUCUUGGGUAGCAAACAAUAGAAUCUCUGCAGAGAAAAUAUUUUUUUUUUACAUUUGUUGUGAAGCUGUAAAUGUAGUCCUCAGUUUAUGAAUUUUCAUUUAAAAAGCAUUUGAAGUUACGAUGGCCUCAGAAAAAAAUUACGAUCUGUACUCACAUUUGCAACAACACCCCUGCGUCCAAUCUCCACAUGAUUACAAUGCUGAGGUUUGGCAACCGGCUUACAGGCACAAUGAUUUAUGACAGAAAUCCUGCUUCCAUUUCUGGACGUGCUUAUUUGAAAAGAAAAAGAAAAAGCAAACAUCCCCAAGAAAAAAAUAACCCUGGAAGAUAAGCCAAACAUUUCUUCACUGCAAACAUUUCUUCAUUACUUUCUCCUUCCAAAAUCAAAGAUGAAUGUGACAAUUA